rnacentral:rRNA from 1 species
AGCAGCCGCGGUAAUUCCAGCUCCAAUAGCGUAUAUUAAAGUUGUUGCAGUUAAAAAAGCUCGUAGUUGAAUUUCGAGACCGGCUUACUGAUCGUGCUAUUGUACGUACUGGUAUAAUCGGUUUCUCCUUUCUGACGAACUAUAAUGCCAUUAAUUUGGUGUUAUAGGGAAUCAGGACUGUUACUUUGAAAAAAUUAGAGUGUUUAAAGCAGGCUCACGCUUGAAUACAUUAGCAUGGAAUAACGGAAUAGGACGUUUGAUUCUAUUUUGUUGGUUUCUAGGAUCGACGUAAUGAUUAAUAGGGAUAGUUGGGGGCAUUAGUAUUCAAUUGUCAGAGGUGAAAUUCUUGGAUUUAUUGAAGACUAACUACUGCGAAAGCAUUUGCCAAGGAUGUUUUCAUUAAUCAAGAACGAAAGUUAGGGGAUCGAAGACGAUCAGAUACCGUCGUAGUCUUACCAUAAACUAUGCCGACUAGGGAUCGGAUGAUGUUAAUUUUUUAAUGACUCAUUCGGCGCCUUAA